rnacentral:rRNA from 1 species
AGUGAACGCUGGCGGUAGGCCUAACACAUGCAAGUCGAACGGCAGCACAGUAAGAGCUUGCUCUUACGGGUGGCGAGUGGCGGACUGGUGAGGAAUACAUCGGAAUCUACUUUUUCGUGGGGGAUAACGUAGGGAAACUUACGCUAAUACCGCAUACGACCUACGGGUGAAAGCAGGGGAUCUUCGGACCUUGCGCGAUUGAAUGGGCCGAUGUCGGAUUAGCUAGUUGGCGGGGUAAAGGCCCACCAAGGCGACGAUCCGUAGCUGGUCUGAGAGGAUGAUCAGCCACACUGAAACUGAGACACGGUCCAGACUCCUACGGGAGGCAGCGGUGGGGAAUAUUGGACAAUGGGCGCAAGCCUGACCCAGCCAUCCCGCGUGGUUGAAGAAGGCCUUCGGGUUGUAAGCCCUUUUGUUGGGAAAGAAAAGCAUCAGGUUAAUACCCCGCUGUUCUGACGGUACCCAAAGAAUAAGCACCGGCUAACUUCGUG